UUCAUUUGCCCUCAUCUAUUUCAGGUGUGGAGCCAAUUAGCAGCCAUUUGCAGGAUGGUUGUGUUAGAGCUGCUGCUUCCUUCCAAACUAUUACCCGGCUCCGCUAAUUCUCACGUCCCGUUUUAAAACACGGCGAUGAGGUGUUGUGUUUGCUUUAUUUAAUACCCGCUCCUCUACAGCAAAGAUUUGUUUUUCCUCGAUGCUGUCCUGGGCUUAUCCGGGGGAAUGUUCAGGGGGAAAAAAGCGAGGACAACGCACAGCAGAACUCAGAGAUGACGAAUACCGGAGCGGCCCCGCGCUGGGCUGACGGUGACCCGUCCGCUCGGAGCUCCGAGCCGGGCGGAGCCGCGGUGCCGUUCUGGAGCCGCCCGCCGCCCCGUGGAGGCCGCAGCGCGGAGCCGCUCGGCUCCGCCCGCACUGCGUGCCGCGAUCCCACAAAACCGCUCCUCUGCGCCCGGAGCCGCGGCACGCCGGGGAGCCGCCCCACGUGGAGCGGCGGGCGAUGCUCGGCGGCCCCGCAGAGGUUUCUAAGGACGCCGGCUGUCUCGCGCUGCCCUCCGAAAGAGCGCCUCGAAGCGCGGCUCCGUCCGUUCCCCGCGCACAGCCGUGCCCGCGCUGCUCGCCCCGCCGUGGCCGUGAGCGCUGCCCGGCGCGGCCGCGCGUCCCUCCGUGCGGUGCGGAGAGCGGCCGCACAGCGGCACAUCGCGUUCCAACGCUGCAUUUCGCGGCGCUGUUUUUCUCUCCGCAGGGCGUUUCUCCACAACUCACCGUUUUAAUCCUUGCUCUCCGUUUCUUUGUUCGGCUGGAACGCUUUUGUUCUCUGAGCGUUUAGUGACACGGGAACCUACAAUUCUCUUCGCCCUCUGCAUUAGGGACGGUUUUAUUUACUCGGUACUGAGGUACAUACUUUUGUUCCCACCCCACGGAGUUGAGUCGUUCCGUGAUGUUGGCCAUUAUCUGUGAUUCUGGUGGCAUCCCUGGUGGGUUUUUACACGACGUGCCCAUCCGGAAGGUGUCAGCCAAAUGUUGUGGGUGUAAAUCUAACUUACAAACAAAACAAAAUCCAAAACUUCUCGGAUGCUCACAGACUUUUUCUGAGCUUAAAUGUUUCAGUAGUGUUCAGUGUUUAGUACUUCAGCGUUAGUAAAUCUCUCAGUGCUGUAAAUGAUCACCUGUACAUCCUGGAGGUAGUCAGAGCAUUGAAGAUAACAAUCGCAUGUAUGUUUUUGAAAACUGUAACCAUAUAAAUCCAAAAUGGAAAAGGUCUUUUAGAGAUGGUCCCAGCAGAGGUCAAAAAUCUCUCCUAAGCAUUUUGGGAUGGGUUUUAAGUGCACUCAGGAGCUGUGGAAGGCGAUCUCCUGGUAUGCGGCAGACAGGUUGGUGCCUGGCUGUGCUGCUGCCCCUCAGCAAAGUGCUUCUGGGCCGUGGGAAAUGAUGGCAGGGCAGCUUCAGAGAGAGGCAUUCGAUCUCAUCCUCAAUCAAAGGCUUUUCCAAUCCGAGGUGCUGAGAUCUGCAGGGCCAUUUAUCCGACUGCUGCCCUUCGCUGGGAAGCAGGUGCUCUAUUGAUGAACUUCUGUAAAUUCUGAAGCAAACUUAGAAUUCUUCAGAUGCAAAAUAUUCAUUAUUGCCUCAAGUGGUGAUACAGAGCAUCCAACCUUUAGUUCUCUGCAUUUUUCCUUCAGAUGUACCCAUCUGUCCUGCAGGAGAGGGCAGCUCCCUGCUGGUGGCAUCCUGAGAGUCCCGGCAGAACGAGCAGAGCCAGAAAAGAGAGUGCUGCAGCCUGGGUGCACCAUAGUGCUGUUAGAUUGGGGUUCUCUUGAUAUCCCUUUAAUUACUGUGCUAAUUAAAAAAUAGCGAUUUUCAAUAAGCUUCUGUAAAAACUGUGGAAGCAUCUUUGUUCAAAUGCUUUUUAAAAAUAAUCAGCUCUCAAAAUUGGAGCUCCCAGAGCAAAGGUAUCCUCAUUGUGAUACCUCAGGUCUGUCAGUACUGGUAACAAUUGUUAGACUUUACAUUUAAUUCUAAACAGGUUAAUAAAAUACAUUAAUUCCACGUUGAGUCUUACACAGAUAACUUCCAGUGAAAGAAAAGGAGGAAUUCCAUGCCUUAUUUUGCUCAUAUCUCAGUGUUUAAGUGAUGGAGCACGCAGCAGUCAGAGUAUUUGGGUACGGAUCCCCCACACCUGUCUGUCACAGUGCUGAGGUGCAGCUCUGUGGGGUUGGGGCGGUGCGCAGGGCUGCAGACAGGUGCACAAACACUGCCCCUUUGAGGUGCUACCUGCUCUUUACUGGACAUUUAUUGCAAGUCGAUGCAAUUUCACAAAGCACCUGCAUGCAAUAAAAACCUAUUACAUGUGUGAGGCCUUAAGGAAAUUAACGGUUCCUCCCUAGGGAUGCAUAUUUUGUUAAGAUGUUUAUUACAGAUGAAGUGGUCCUGGGGUAAAACAUUAACAAGUUGUAGAGUGAUAAAAGGAAUUUUAUCAUUUCUCAGUGACAUAAAUAGGAAGAAACCUUUAACUAAAUCUAUAAAAUUCCUGAUUCCUAAUGAAUUUGCUUUAACUAUUUAUUAACUGGCUGGGCCCAUUCACGCUGCAAUUUGCUUUUCUUCUUUCUGUCCCCUUUUUCCCCCGGCGCUGUCUGGGAUCUGCUCUGAGCUCCGCUACACAGAAAAGAAACUUCACCUCUGUAUCAGCUUAAAAAUAAUAAUAAUUCUCCCUUGUGAGUUUAAGGCAGAGCAAUAAAACUCUGUAAUCAGUGUGAUACUGAUUUUCAUCAUUGAAUGUGACCUUAACAUUCUGUACUGUUGUCGUAAUGUCAGCUCAUACCACUUAAGUCAUGCGUUAUAUUUUUAGGUUCAGAAUGGUAACUUAUUUUUUUAGUUACUUUUAGAAAUGCAAAUUCUUUUUCA